rnacentral:rRNA from 1 species
UACGUAGGUGGCAAGCGUUGUCCGGAUUUACUGGGCGUAAAGAGCGCGCAGGCGGUCGAUUAAGUCGAGUGUGAAAGCCCCCGGCUCAACUGGGGAGGGUCACUUGAUACUGGUCGACUCGAAGGCAGGAGAGGGAAGUGGAAUUCCCGGUGUAGUGGUGAAAUGCGUAGAUAUCGGGAGGAACACCAGUGGCGAAGGCGACUUCCUGGCCUGUUCUUGACGCUGAGGAGCGAAAGCUAGGGGAGCAAACGGG